UUUAAGUGCAGCCAUAAGUUUUCAUAUCCAAUUUUGAUCGUUUGUUUUAUUUAAAAUUUUUUAUGAUUAGUAUUUUUAUUAUUAUUAGAUGAUAAAACAUAAAUAGUACUUUCUGCAUUACUUAUGUUUUUUAUUUUUUAAAAAAAUUUAAAUAAAACGGACAAUUAAAGUUGGGCACUGAAACUUAUGGUUGGGCUUAAA
rfam:Oryza punctata chromosome 7, whole genome shotgun sequence.